AUCGGCAUUAAACUACGUGCGCUCAUUUGGCGUCAAAACCCAUGAAAUGGAACAAUCAUAUUGUAUAAUCUAAUCUAUAUAAUCCUUGCCUCUUAAUUUUGUCCUUGCUCUGUCGUGAUUUCCACAUUGGUCAUCUGAGAACACAUUCUUCUUAUACUUCUGGCUUUUUGAUUUUGACUUGCCUCUGCUACUCUGUUUUUUGCAUCCUUAACUUUAGCUAGUUUACUGAUGUUGGG